UUUUUUUUUUUUUUUUUUUGUGUUUGCUGAUUCUGUUUAGUUCAGCUAAUCUUACUUGAAAGCCAAGGCACAUUGAAGAAAGAAAGAAAGAAAGAAAAUUAUACACAAAUAUUACAGCACAAAAACAUUUUAGGCAUCAAGCCAUCAUUUUAUUUAUAAAUAUUCAUUGUAAUUAGUAUAUCAAACACACAAUCACAGCCACAACAAAUUUAAUAAAGCUCUCACCAAGCUUAUAACAUGACAUACAUAACCUUAACAAGCUUUUGUUUCAUACUCACACCAUUCUAUCUCUUAUUAUUAUUCAACUACUGAAAUAACCAUGCAUGUUCAUGCCUUGACAAGUGAAGCAUCCACGUCUUUUCCAGCAUGAAUCAGCCAGUGGAGGUACUUAGUUGGAGCAGGCUCAUUCUCAUUGAUAUUCUCAUACUCAAUUGUCCAUUUGGCAUAGUUGGACUGGCCUUUUGGAAUAACUUGUAAGCUAGCCUUGUAGCUCUUUAAUUGUUCCAAAAUGUGUCCUCCAACUGCUUCUGCAGUGACAGUCUUGUUCUCUUCAUCCACCGUAAGCCUUUCUUUCAGAGUCUCAACUUUUCCAUCUGGGCAGUAAAAUAUUUAUCAAAUUAAUCCAUUAUUAUAGGGAUAUUCUACCAAAUUGGUGGCAGAAAAACAUGAAGUUAUGAUGCAUAUCAUCUUGAAAUUCCCAGGAAAAUCACCAUAAUAUCAAACUGUUCUACAGUAAAUUUUAAAAAAAAAAAAUCAUGCAACUCUAAUUUGUAACUAUCAAUCUUACAGAGUAUAGAGUUGGUUUUUGUUACCUAUUGCAUAAGUCCAGAGCUUGACAGAGCCCUUAGUUUUCCAGUCACCUUGAUGAACCUUAACACCAUGAACUUUGUCGGAGCAAAGAUUUGGAAGUUUGUGUGCUUUACCACCAAAGCUCUGGAAGAACUCAUCAGGAUCAGACUUAAUCUUUAUCUCAGCUUCUAACUUUCCAGCUAGAAUUGGACUAGCCAUAAUUGGUUGUAGUAAUGCUGAAAAAUCGCUGUGCACCUUUUCCUAGUAAAUGCUCUACCAACUAAACUGGCUGAACCAUGAUUUAUAGAAUCAAAUUUUCAUUUCACAGUAGCUUUUAGAUUAUUACGUAGAUUAAGUCAACAUUUUGUGCGAAACUGUUUAGCAUAGAUGGUUAAUUGAGUGAAUGCAAAACUUUUUGAUGACAAAGCAUGUUCUAUUUGCAGUAACAAACUUGAUAGUUUUAUUAGAGAGGUAAAAAAUGUCAUACCAUUUAUUCACGUGGUAAGUAGACGAAAAAAGGAUUUUUUUUUUCCAAACUUUAUAAUGUUUUUGGGAUGAUUGAAAAGGGAAAUCAGAGUAUGUUGACAAAUUGUUUUUUUUUUUCCUUUUUUAAUAGGUAGUCACGCGUAUUGUUACAAGAAUGGAAAUGAAAAAAAAUUAUUUUGGCCCUUCAAAUCAAGAAAUUGUACAUUUGUCCGCUUCAUGAAUGGUGAAGCACAUCAGAAAGUCAUCUUUUUUUUUAUUCUUUUUUCUUUCUUUGUUCGAUACUCAACAACACCAUGGAUACGCUCAGCAAAAGUCGCAAACGCCAAAAUCUUGAUGAAAGCAGCUCUUCAGCCAUCAUCAUGUUGAAAAUACUGCAAAACAGUAGUGAAGGGCAUUGCAUUCAUGUAUCAAUAAGGCUACUUCUAAGACAAGAGAAAAGGAUUUGAAUAUUUUCUUUUUAGCUGCACCAAUCUAAUUGUUUGCUAAUUUUGGGCAAUUGACUAGGAUGAUCAUCUCAUGCAUUAUCUGCAUUUGAUAAUUGAUAUAGGUAAUUAUCUGCCAACGAAUAAAACCAAUUACACGGUUUAAAAAGGGAACCUAAUUGGUACAAAUUGAGAUAGUUACGUUGACAACUACAUUGUGGCAUUGGAGAGAGGGUUGAAUUAGAUGAUAAGUUAAGAGAGAUUGUAAGUAAGAGGUUUAGGGUUAAAGACCUCCCACUUACAAGCCAAAAAAAAAAAGCUUCAAGGUGGCAUAAAGUGACUAAAAUGAAAGUUCAAUUUAAAAAGUGAGAACUAAUGCCAUAAUACAGAGUAACAACUUCAAAGUGGCGGUUGCUAAUAAUUGUCAACAUAUACAUGCAAUAUUUAUUGAAACCGAGGACCAAUUGGCAUGUACAGGGAUAAAGAUCUUACUAAUCAAUUGAUCCAUCUGAUUCGAUUACAUUCUUUAUCUUUAUCUUUUUCUUUUCAGAGAAUUGGAAUUUUCUUGCUGUAAAUCUUUUUACUGCAGCAGAUAUCUAGAUGCUCCCCUACAAGCAUAUAUAUUAACCCUUGAACUAGCCAGUCCAGGUUUUUUGUUGGACUAGGCUUAUUGUCGUUCAGUUUUUCAUGGUCAAUCGUACAUUUGGCAAAGCUGGAGUCACCUCUGGAGAUAACUUGUAACGUUGCUUUAUAGUUCUUGUAGUGCUUCAUACAAUCUCCAUCUAUUGCCUCAGCAGCAGUGGUCUUGUUCUCCUCGUCAAUUUUGAGCCUCUCUUUGUAUACCUCAACUUUUCCAUCUAUAUUUGCAUCACAAAGAAAUUCAUCAGUGGCUUUUCUUAACACUGAAUAAUGUUUCACUCUUAAUUUGUUGUUUCCUAUAUUAUCUAGCUUUAGGCUCAAUUUGCCACAUUUUGGGAAAAACGAAUUUAACAAGAAAAUGUAAUGGAGAAAAGUAUCAAUUAUUAAAAACUAUUGAUGCUUCGUUACGCCAAACUAAACUACAAUAUAGACUCCUUAUCCUUGAUGUCUUUCUCAUUUCGUUAUGAAAAUUAGAUAAUUGACUGAGUAUGCUAACUACUUCACAAGCUAGAUCGCAUAAAAAAAAUAAAAAUUCAUAAAACUUAAAGGAGUAAAUGAACAUUAAGAUACAGUAAAGUGAUGGUUUUACCUAAGUACAACAAAUAAGAAGUAGGCGUGGCAUUAUUUUUUGUGCAAAAGGGUAAAAACUUUUAUAAUGAAAGUGUUACAAUUCAAGAGAUGAAUGGUAGUAUUAAAAGAAAGAGUGUAAGUGAGAGAUUCCGAAUUCGAAACCUCGCACUUACACUAAAAAAAAAGAUAGUAAUUUUAAAAGUUUAGUAUUAGGUCCUCUUCUUCUUCUUCUUUUUUUUUGUGCUUAUCUUUUGCCUUUACAACACUCAAUAGAAAAAUCUUAUUAUUCUACCGUCUUUACGUAAGAAGCAAUAAUAUAGAGUCAAUUUCUUUGCAUCCAGUGAAAGGAUAAGGAGAUAAAGUCAAUUGAGGAGGCUAAUUACGAUAAUAUGUCAAGCUCAAUAAAAAUGCCAUGAAACAUAUGAUAAGAGUUGUUGUCAAGAAAUUAUACAAAAAGAUACUGAGGGAAGCCCAAAGCCCGUGAAAAGAAUAUAAAAAAAUAAAAGAUUGUGAAUAUAUCAAAUAAAAUUGCGGUCCAUGGGCACGAAAUAAGUUGAGUACAAAUUUUGGCAUGAUCGAUUCAUAAAUUUCUGCUGAAAGAUUGUCUCCUGAAUUAUUUGUGGACAUCGAUUGUGAUGGCUCGGAAAACUUAGUUUCCUCUAAUUCAACAAAUUAGUUAUAUGUUGAUUUAUUUGAUCGAUUCAUAGCUUGCUUUAUCAGUUACCUUUGAUUCAAAAGUCAGUCCAGUGUUUGCAGUACUUACUUAUAAGAAUGUGGUUUAAUAAUUUUGCAGAGUAAAAUUUAGAGAGGUUUCGAGGGCUUAGUUGACGAAAAACAAAUAUAUGGAAGGCCAAGCUAAGAAUCAGGGCCUGACAGAUAUUAUUACACUAUGAGGUCUCAUUUCGAUUUACUCUAGCAUUUAUUUAUUUUUUGAAUAAUUGAAAUGGAAUUCAUAUAUAUUCAUUCUUAAGAAAUUGUUCUGAUCUUGCCCCCUUCCUACCUAGUACUGUAUUAUUUUUUCUUGACAAGGCGCACAAAUAAGUAAGACAUUUUAUUUUAGUUGUCAUGAAUUAGGAAAAGAGCUUUUUUUCUUGAAAUUCAUUUUUUAAUGUUUCUUGAUUUUUGUUUUUUAAUGUUUCUUGAUUUUUUUCUCCUACCAAAAAAAAAAAAAAAAAGUAUUUGUCCUUUUGGUUUCUCAUAUUUUUGCAACUUUUGCAGGUAUGUAUCAACAAAUUGUAAUUGGGAUAUAUGUGUGUGUUUGUGUGUGCGUGCACGCAUGUGUAAGUGUAUGUAUGUACAUACAUGUGCAUAUGUAUAUAUAUGUACAUACAUACAUAUAUACAUACAUAUAUAUAUGUGUAUAUAUAUGUGUGUGUAUGUAUAUAUAUAUGUAUACAUACAUCACGCACACGCAUAUAUAUAUAUGUGUGUGUGUGCGCGCGCGCGCUUAUGUAUAUAUAUGUAUGUACGUACAUACGUACGUUCAACAAGGAUUUUCAGCCAACUCAUUGCUAUGUGUACUAGCCACAAAGGUAUGCCUAACAACUACCAUUUAAUUGUUGGAUACAUUAAUUAAUCUGAAGGACAAACCUGCAAGGCUGUUGGAUCUCAUUAAUUAAAUAAGAGCCCAGUGCACAUCUUGGUCAUUAUGACCAGUUAAUGGCAAUAAGGUUGUACUCUCUCUCUUGCCGAAGAGUGGCCAAAAUGCCAAAUCGAAGAGGCGCCUUAAUGUUUAUCACUACAAACUUACAAAAAUUAUUUUGGGUUUCUACAGGAAAAUUCUGUUGAAAGGCAAAAAGUUCAACCGACAGAAAAUUGUGUGGAUUAUUAAAUCUUAAUGCACAAUAACUUUUGCGAGAAUCUUAAGCCUAAUUAAUACUCCCUCCAUUCCUUAUUAGAUGUCCUAAUCCAGUGUUUCUUUUUAUCUGUCAUUUUAUGAUAUCAAGAAAGCAUUUAUAAACUUUUUUUCAAAUUUAUCCUUGUUUACCCUUUCAACUUUCUUGAAUUGGAACUCUAAAUAAUUAAAUGCAGUAUUUGUAGUAUUAACAAUAGAAGUAGUUGAAGAGAUGAAGAAUUAAAUUGAAAUGUGUCUAUUAAUUAGGUAUAGUUGAAGAGAGAUAAAGGGUAAUUUUGAGAAGUAAAAUAAAACUUUUGUUGACUUUUAGAAAAUAACCAACUUUCUUAAUCUAAGAGAAUUAGUUAUUCAGGCCAUCUAAUAAGGAACGGAGGGAGUAACUCGUAAUCCACCAUAAGCCGUGAAGAUUGCUGCGGCCAAUGCGAUAGGGAAAAAAAAAAAAAAAAAAGAAACUCGUUUUCCAGUCACCUUCGUGCACUUCAAUCCUGUUAACUUUCUCAUUCACAAGAUCUGGGAGUUGGUGUGCUUUAGCGCCAAAGCUAUGGAAGAACUCAUUAGCAUCAGACAUCAGCCUGAAUUCAGCCUCCAACUUACCUACUAAUUUACUAGUCAUAGUAGAGAGUUCCAAGAAUUGAUCAAACCGAAAAAAAGAAGAAGAAGAAGGAGAAGGAGAAGAAAAGCCCUACUAAUAACCUUGAACAAUACUAUGUUUCAUGCAACUCAGCCACUUGACUACCUGAUCUAUAGAUGCUUCAUUAAUUGGUUGGCUCCCACAAGUUACAAAUGUGUGGUUCUCUUUUCUUUUAGCUGCAAAAUAUGCGUGUAAUCGUGAACAUGAAUGCAUGUUGCAAUAUCUUCUCAUGCAAAUGAUAUACUGCUGCGUUUAGCCAAUACUGUCACACUUGAUUAUUAGUUAAAUUGGUAAAUGCUCCACUUCUGUCUCCAACGGGGAAUUCAAUGGGAAAUAAUGAUGUGGGGUAUAUUUCUUUUUUUAGGGGCGGGUUAUACAUUUUUAUCUAAUCCUUAUCCAUAGCAAGCUGAAAUCAAAAUUGCUCUACAUUUCAAUUGAAGUCCAUGAUAAUUAUUUGGACAAGUUUGAUUUGUUUUGUAUAUGCUUAGGACAACAUGCCAAGAAUCGACCAAAAGCAGACUCACAGAACACUAGCGUAGCUUAAAGGACAAUUUCGAUUUUGGAUAGGUAAUGUUUUGAUAGAUUUUCAGCUUGCACUUUAAACUUCUAUUUUAAAGUCUUUUAGUUUUAUGAAUACACUUUUUUUUCUGUAAUCUAUCUGUAAUCAAAAUAUGUAGUGGGCUUUGAGUAUUCCUAAGAAGAAGCGAAAUUCGCUUUUGCAACAGAAGUAAAAUUAAGAAGUGAUAUUGUUAUUUAAAUUUAUAUAUUUGUUGUGCAGGUGCGUACAUUUAUUGUUCCUAUGCAUACAUUGUAGAGUACAAUUGUAACUAACAUUGUGGAGAUGCUACACGCCAAUGUUGUACUUUCUGCUGGUUUAGUUCACCUCUUUGGGGACAUUUAGCAAGAAGUCAAGAUAUGAUAAACAAGUGUGUGUGAUACAGCAAAAUUUUAUUAAAUUACAUGACGAAAUUGUGAUCUAACUGAAGUUUUGCUCAUGUUCCUUCGUUAGAAAAUCAAUUAACGUGUUUGUUAUCACAAGAUUACUUAUGCAAUUUAGAGAUCCUCUUUUGAUUAAGAAACCAAAAGAGAUAUUUAAAGAGAGGAAACUAGAGAGAUCCUUGAAAUUUGAAGGUUCAAAACGGUGAACCGAUGCACUUAGCAUUUAUAUCUUCAUCAACUGAGAUAGAUAUAAAGCCACCUAAACAUUCAUUGAUCUUUGCCUUCAAAAUUCGAAAUUCACUAAUUAGAUUGAUCUUUUCUACGCAGCAUAUAAUUGUAAUUACACAUGCAAUUCGAAAUUCAAGUUACUUGUAUCAAAAGAAUUUUGCUAGUUCAUCUAUGAUGAUAGGAUACCUAAAUCAAAAACUGCAUGAAUGAAAAGUUAUAGGAUGGUACCAGUGAAUGUCGCUUGUUUUGUGGAGUUCUAAACCUUGAGGUGGGUUGGAAUUUAUUGCAGCCAACUUUGAUCCUAUGGGGGGUGGAUAAAAAUCAGACUUUUCCAAUAGAACUGGCUCACACAUUAAAAGGGUGUGAUCCCUUUUCCCUCUUGCCUGUUGCAAUAUGAUUAACUUCCAGUGCGUUUAGGAAAACAUUAGUAUAAAGGAGUGAAAGAACGCCUGAAAUUUGCAAUGACAAAACUGUAUGGACAUUAUUUGUGCAGACAUUUGAGAGAGAAUGCUGAGCUGAUAAUCCUUGAUGGAGCAGGGCAUUCAUGGGCUUAUGAAAAAUCUGAGUUUUAUAAGCACCUAAAAACCUUUCUCAUAGGCUGAAUCAACCAACCGACUUAAGGCACUUCAAUCUUUCCUCUUCAACUCAAAGAAGAAAUUUGUCGUUCAACUCAAUUUUCGAGGCUAAAAACGUAGGGGAAAGCCUCUAAUCAAUUGAAUUUGUAGGUACACUUGGUUUCGUAGAAUAAAUAACUGACAAUGAUGGUUAAUAAUUCUUUCAACAAUGUUCCAUUCAUGAUGUAUCUCUGCUCAAGCUAUUGCAGAUCAUACAAAUUCCACUUGUGGAAGGAAGACGGGAAAAUUAAACCAUGUUCAUGGCUGGCCACUAAAUCCCUUGUUAAUGACUUCUAAUCAACUACUACUAUUUCAAAGACACCAUAUAUAAGACGACCAAAAAUUCAGCUAAACACAUACCGUUCUGGGUAAAAGAUGUCAUGGCCCUCAAAUGACCUAAUCAGCCUAAAUUCAAGAGUACCUAUUAUGAAACGGACCAUAUGCCCAAUUGUUUCACAUCCUAAACUAUCAAAGUAAAAGUAUAUUGAGACAAGAAAAAAAGAAAAAAAAAAGAAUAGACAAACUUUGCUCCCUUUAUUUUCAAAAUAUUCAACCUGUAAGCACUAAUCAAACUGAAUAGUCUCAAAAGCUUAACUCAAUCAUAUAAUGAUCACACAGAAUAGCGAAAAAGAAAGGGAGAAGAAGUACUCUGGUUGCAGACUCCUAAUUUGGUUGUUGGAGAAGGGGCGGUAGUAGUGGUUUUUAACUGAGAAUGAUAGAGACUGAGGUUUGAGAGUCUGAGAGUGUAGACUUACGGUUUAGUUCUUUUAUCCUUCAAAAAAAGGGUUUAGUUCUUUAUCCUUCAAAAAAAGGGUUUAUUCUUUUAGGAGUUUUAUUUUUAAAAUUUUUAACGGGAUCAAAUUGACUGCAAUGCCCAAGAAACUAGCUGUACUACAAAAGUUAAGGGUAGAAAUUUCUCAAUAAGUUCUGAACACUUAUGUGUUUUAAGUCUUUAAUAUUUACACUAGCGCUCGAUAGCACACUAUAUUCCUACUUGCACUCGAGUCGUUACAACAAUCGAACAUGUUUGAAAUUGAUUCAAACACGAUCAAAGUCGAAACAAGACAAUCCAUUGAUCAAGCAGCUUCAUAUGUGCACCCGAGUUGCUCGAUUCGCAUACAUCCCUAUCGCAAAAUCAUAGUAAUUGAACCUUCAACAUCGAGUAUAGGAUUGGCCUUUGUUAUUCACCUAAUGCUCAAGUACAUAGCCUGACAGAGCCGGCAUUCUUCCAAUCACCUUGAUGAACAUCAAUGCCAUGGACUUUCUCGGAACACAGAUUUGGAAGUUGGUCUGCUUUACAACCAAAGCUAUUGAAGAACUCAUCAGGAUCAGACUUGGAUCUUUAUCUCAGCCUCCAACUUUUCUGCUGUAUUAGCCAUAGUUUUUUCUAGCUCUACUAGUCAAAAAGCUACUGAUUUUCAGCUCACCUUCACCUAGUAGAAUGCAAAUGCUAACGUAUAUGUACUUUAACCAUCGGACCACCGCUUAUAUAGGAUCAGUUCCAUUUUUCCGUACAUUUGUGAUGGUUUGUACUAAUAUCUUUGCUUUUUAUCAAUUCUGUUUUAGGUUUAUGUAGUUAUACCGCUCAUACCUAUGCUUAAAUUUCAAUAUACUAAUUGGGCUUAAGUAGCAAAGUUUUGAAAUUUAAUUUAAAAAGAAAAAAAAAACCUGGCUACAUUAUUUUUGGAUUAGGUCAGGAAAUUUGCCUUGCUAUUCUUCUUUAUCAUAGUCAAGACAAAAUUUCUGUUGUUAGACUAUUACCAGGAUUAGGUUAAUUAUCUAUGUCUUUUGAUGCAAUAUCGAGAGGCAACAUGUCCCAGAUUAAAAUUAAGGGGCAGAUAAAAUGUCAUAUUAAUCCAAGAAAACCCAACUGCAACCAGAACUAGAUUUCAUGCUUUGCUUUAUGGCCAUCACCUAAGACGAGUGGGUUAGAAAGAUUUGUUUGCUUGAUAUGUUAUAAUACAGGCUUCGUUAAUAAGUUAUUAAUGCGAAUAUGCAAAACAAAUGGUUACAUUAUAGAUUCCUGUGCUUUGUGUUAAAGCUUCUUUUUUUUUUUUUGGCAACAAAUUUUUGGACUGCACGGAUCAUUCCUUGCUGCUUUUAGAUUUCAAAACAGAAGCUACAAAGUACAGAACAUUUUCAGUUUUAGAAAUGCACCUCGGUUUUUCAAAAGGUGCAUUGACUACUGUAAAGAAUAGUUUCAGCUCCCUGAGAUCGAUGCCAGCAAGAUAGUUAAAUCAGCAGUGAUAAAUGUUAUGCAAUGAACCACUGUUAUAUAAAGGAAGCAUGCUGCGAUAAUGAUACCCCAUGAGGAAAAACAGAAACCCUAAUAAUCAUAGCGAUGAUAGUAACACUAAACCUAGAGUUAUGAACUAGUUCUUCGAGUUAAUUAAGAAUUUCUUGGUCCCAUCUAGGGGUGUAAACGAGCCGAAUUCGAGUUAAUUUUAUGAAGCUCGAAUUUUAUGAAACUCGAACUCGAGUUCGAACUCGAGCUCGACGAGCUCAAAAUAUCAAGCUCGAGUCGAGCUCGAGCUUAAAAAAUAAAAAAAUAAUUAUUAUUAUUUUAUUUUUAAAAAAUAAAAAAUUAUUAUUAUUAUUAUUAUUAAAAAAUAAUUUUUUAAAAAAUUAUUAUUAUUAUUUUAUCAAGCUCGAGCUCGAGCUUAAAAAAUAAAAAAUUAUUAUUAUUAUUAUUUUAUUUUAUUUUUAAAAAAUAAAAAAUAAUUAUUUAUUUUAAAAAAUGAAUAAAACAAUAAUAUUUUAACAAAUAAUAAAAUAUUAGGAAUAUAUAUGUAAUUUUACUAUUAAAAUAAAAAAUAAAAAAUAAAUAUAUAAUUGAGACUCGCGAGUCAACGAGUUUAAUGUUUUUGAACUCGAAUUCGAGCUCGAGAUCGAUUUAAUUAGUUCAAGCUCGACUCGAACUCGAUAUUGAUGAGCUCGAGUCGAGCUCGUAUUCGCUCGAUUCGCGAAACACCCCUAGUCCUUUCUUUGUAGUCAAGUCAUCCAAACAAAAUCGUAUUCCCUCGUUUAUUCCAAUUGUACCAAGAGACCAUUAUUUGGCGAAAAAGACAACAGAGAAAACAUGUCAGAUAUAAUCAUAUAAUCAGUGCUCCCAUAGCCAAAAUGCGCAGGAUUAGAUGUAGUUGGGUAUUAAUGGAUCAAAAUUCUUGACGUCUUCACUUGAGGAGAAGACGACAAACUGAAUUUAACUCGAAAAACUCGAAAAAAAUAAUAAUAAAAUUGCGUUUAAAAGAGCUGCAAUGAAUUUAGUUAGGAAUAUGGAAUUAACCUAUCUGGAGAAAGAUGGACAACAUUAAGCAAACAACAUGCGUUUGAAAACGACUCAGCAUUGAUGAAAGGGUUAAAUGCAAAAUACCCCCCGCCAAUUAUACACCUAGUUGCAGUUUACCCCAUAAACUAUAAUAAUAGGCAUUUUGCCUCCUUGAAUGAUAUGUUUGGACAAAUCUAUCCCUUUUAUUUUAAACAUUGUUAUUUUUCUUUUUUCCCUAUCUUUUUCUUUUUAAAUUCUUCCUUUUUUUUUCUUUAAACAUUGUUUAAAUAAGUAGACUAGAUUAGUCAAAAUUUGUUUAUUUCUUAAUUUCAUAUGUCAAUAUUUUAUAAAAAAAAAAUUUAUGGAAUACAAGAUUUUUUUUCCAAAUGUUGAAGUCAAUGUCAUUUAGGAAAUUGAACUUUUCAAAUAUAUAAUAACAAAAUAGAGAAAUUGAUUAAUCAAUUAGUAGUAGUAUCAAUAACAAAAAAAAUGAACUACUAUUGUUGUUUAUUCUUAUUUUUUAUUUCACUACAAAUAACAAUUGCUAACUUUUCUUUUUUAUGUGAUAUAUAAUAUGUUACUUUUAUUAUAAGUAGUUGAGUAACUGUGAACUCUUAAUUAGUUUAUAGGCACUUAAAUUGUUGAAUUACUAGAUUAAUACACUUUACAAUAUAAGCUACAUAUAUUUUGUAAUAACAAAGAGUUUAUGACAAAUUAUUAAGAAUGAAUUUAACAAAUAAACAAAUUAAAAAAGCAGUUUAAAGAAUAUUAAAAUUUUUUAUGUAAGUCCUUUCACAUCGGAGAGAGACAUUGGCUAGUUCCACGAAAGAAGGAGAAAAUAAAGAAAAAAAAAGGAAAAAAAAAAAAAGAAAAAAAAAAAAAAAAAAAGGAUUUCAGAUAGUAGGGAUAGUAUUGUCCAAACAUAUCAUUCAGGGAGGCAAAAUGAUUAUUAUUAUAGUUUAGGGGGUAAAAUGCAACUUGAUAUAUAAUUUGUGGGGGUUUUUUGCAUUUAACCCUUGAUGAAAAGACUAAUAAAGUCAACAGUAUGCCCCCACAAAAUUCAAUUUCCAAGUCACCAUUCCAACCACUUCCUUGACUAAUCCUAAACUUGGAGAUUGAGCUCCAAAAAAAAGUUUAUUCAAAGGCAAUACGAUUUGGGAAUUGCAAUGGGAAGCAAGUCGUUAAAUGAAGUAAUCAAACAUCACUUAGUAAAGGCUUACUAAACUAGUUAAUAAAGAUGUUGUUGGGCUGCUGUAUUUACCAUGAAUUGAUUUAAAGAUGAAAGUUCAGGAUCUUUAACAUGGAAUAUGGUGAUUUUUCUCCAAUUCCUCCUGGCUUUCUCUUUCUCUUUUAUUCAGGUCUCCCCGGCAGGAAAACAGAUACACACACACACACACACAUAUAUAGACACAAGCAUUUGAAGGUUCAUUAUCGUGAACCAGUGCACCAAGCAUUUAUAUCUUCAUCAAGCCAAAAAAAAAAAAAAAAAAGAAAGAAAGUUAAGAUAGAUAUAAAGCCACACGAAACAUUCAUUUUAUUUUUCGUCAUUACACGUAGAAUCGUUAACACAUACAAAUUACAACCAAGCACUAACAGGAGUAGAAUUGCUAACACUUAUACAAAUUACAACCAAUCACUAGCAGGAGUAGAAUUGCUAACACUUACACAAAUUACAACCAAGCACUAACAGGACUAGAAUUGCUAACACUUAUACAAAUUACAACCAAUCACUAGCAGGAGUAGAAUCGCUAACACUUACACAAAUUACAAUCAAGCACUAACAGGAGAGCAA
rnacentral:lncRNA from 1 species